CCGGUGCAGGCGAGGACGCCGCCGCAGUCGCCGGUCUGGCAGUGGCCGUUGCCGUUGGAAUCGAAGGAGCAGCCGGUGCGAGCCCAGACGCGGCCGCCGGUGGUGCCGUCAGCCACGUUGAAGGUCCAGGACUGACCUGGGUUGAGCUGGGCGCCGCCGCCGGGGGAGGCGGCGCCCCAGACGGUGUAGGAGCAACGGUUGACGACGUUGAAGGUCGAGGCGGCGGCGAGAGGGACGAGGGCGAGGAGCAGGAGAGGGAGAGUGGUUUGUGUGGCCAUUUUUGAGGAGAAAAUGGAUUUAGAGUGUUGUUGUUGUUGUUGUUGUUAAGUGUGGUGUUGUGUGUAGGAAAGGAGGGGGGGAAGAGGGAGUGCAAUUUAUAGAGGUUUCGGAGAGGUCGCAUGGGGGAAGUUGUGCGGACGUUUUGAGAUUAAGAGGAAAAUUCAAAUAUUACGUACUAUAAACAAUGUGGCUAGUUAAUUGGCCGCGUAUGUAGGGAUGUUGAUGUUUCGACUUAUGCGUAACGCUUGUAUUCUCUUGUCACCAAGAAAAAAUAUACGUUUAAGUCUAACAGGGAGAGAAUAUAUUUUACUCUCUAGAUACCAAAUAAAUAUUCCCAAGAGAUAAAAAAUCUUAUUAGAUUGUAGUGUCAGAAAAAAAAAAAAAAAAAUCUUGACCAAAUGCACCUUCAUAUUAUUUCUUUUCAUUAAUUGCACUAUCUGAAGGCGAGUUCCAAGUUUCUUUGUCUAAAGCCCAGAUGGAGCAUUAAAUGCGUCUGUUGCCCCUCUUCCUCGGGAGUCGGGAGCCACGCCAUCCUUCGCAUCCCCGGCCCCUGUUGUCCUCGCACCCCCUGAUGGAAAAACUUCCUCGGGCCCCACUUUUGUACUCGGACUGGAGCUCAACCAGUUGUGUACUUGUGUUGGGACCUCUCUAUUCUCCGAUGCGGACCGGGCCUCUCACCGAGCCCAACUACGCUCCGGCUCCAUCUUCUCUUUCCCCCCCGGUUCCGACCCAGUUGGUCAUUGGGCUCAGCUCCCGGCCCAUCGGGGCUGCGUUAUGGGCUACCCUACUUCGCAGUCCAGCGCGGGCCAUGGGGUUGCGCUAGUGUUACACGUCACCAAUUCCCCCGCAACUGCCUAUGCUGUUUCUUUGGAAAAAAUUCUAAAAUGCAACGGGUAUAUUGAUGAUGUGACGUAACAAAUCAAUAAAAAAAAUUUUUAAAAAAAUAUAUGUCCCAUCAUGAUUAUAAAAAAAAUAUUUUUAUUGUACUUUUGUUUGAAAAGAAAAAAGGUGAUUGGCUUGUUAUUGAUGACGUGGUGCAAGUGUGAUAGUGUAGAAUUCUUCGUUUCUUUGCGCCAGUCUCAAUUGGAGCGAUCGCCACGUCGCCAACGCCUCUCCCGCUCCCGUUUCUCUGACGGAGUCUCCUUCCAUUAACAAGCACCCUCCAUCCGACCUCUCCGUUAAAGAAGUCGCGACCGCUCCCAGUGUCAGCAGGCGAAAGUAAUAUAAUCGGGCGAGACGACGACUUAUAAACAAAAUAAAAUGACAAAAUUGGUGCAAUUAAAGAAUCAGGUGAUUCAUCUACCGUACCGUCUUUAUGAGGGCAAACAAAUCACUGUAGAAAGCUUUUUAAAAACACUUCAUUAGAAAGCCUUCAAUUUAUUGUCUCAUGCAAAAAUAUAAUUUUUUUAAAAAAAUUACAAGUUAUAUGAAUUUCUGAACGAGAAAUCUCGACCGGUUGCAUAAAAAUUAUAAGUUAUAUAUAUAAAUUUCUUACGAAUCAAUAACAUCGCUUUGGACCGACCGUUUCGGUGAUUGGUAUAUGAGAUUCCAAGUUCGAAUUUUAGUUGAUUCACAUUUUCAGCUAAAUUUUUUUCUAUAUAAAAUAAAUGAAGCGUGUAUUAUGUUAACUAUCUCUUAAAAAAAAGAAAAAAAAGAAAAAAACAUCGCUUUGGCUUUAUCAUUGGAAAACCGAAGUUCAUAAAAGAAAAGACUGACCCACACGGUUUUCUCUGACUCCCAUAAAUAAAGCAAACCUAUCAAUUGCUAGGUCAACGUUGACCCAGGAAAAACGUAGCCGUUAUAAAAGUUGAUUUUAAAAGAUGGCGGGAACGGCCUGUGGAGUUAUAUAAACCAAAUUAUUUGAAAAGUCUGGUUGUUUUGAUGGCUUAUUUUUUGGAUUUUGGUUCCGUGGAACAUUCAAUGAACAUUUAUUACAAUUUAAAUCACUACUACAAUUUUUUUUUUUCCCUUUCAAUUUAAACAACCAACUUUGUCUCUCUAUCUCUCUCAAAAAAAAAAAAAAAAAAAGCUUUGUCUCUCUAUAGUCAACCGAAAAGCCAAAUGUGAAAAAAAUAUUUGUAGAGUGUUCUAUUAUUUGAUUAAUUGUUCUUUUAAGUAGUGCUACGGAAGGAGCCCGUAUUUUUAAGUUAAAAAAGUUUUUACUUUAUUUAGAGCACAAAAUUUUAUUUUUCAUUCAGCUUUUUAUUGCAGCAGCCUACAUAAUAAAUGAGAAAAUGUCGUAACUGUGUAUAUUUCCUAUCCAACCAAAUGAAUCAUGCUUAUUACUUUUAUUUCAAUCUAAACAAUCCCCAUGGAAGGAGCUUCUACAGAGUAGCCACCUUCUCUUACACAAUUACUUUAUUCCACAAUGCUUUAUUCAAGACGCAUACAAUACGUAGGCAUACGUGCAUGUAUAGAUACCGCUAUACGUAUAGUAGUAUAUAACUGUGAUCUAAGGGCAAAACACAACCUGGUAGUUGGUGUUUCCAGGGCAAGUGAAAGUGGUGCCGUCGUAAUCGUCAGGAUAGCUGAAUGCCUGAGGGCACUGGCCCUUGAAGUACUCGGAGUACUGCGUCGGGUUGCAGCUGCUCCCGGACGGGCAGCAGUACUCCGGCGCCCCGAAGAUCGUGCAUGGGUCAUCGCACCCGCCGGACACCUGCAGCGGCGCCGGGCAGUUCGCAUUUACGUUGGCGGCGCAGCUCGGCCCCGACGUGCAGCCAUUCGACGUCGGCGUGAAGCUCAGCGGCACGUUGAACCCUGAAAACAAAGCGGUUCAUUCAUUCACAAAUUUGUACUGUAAAUUAAACACUGCUCUCUAAUAGUAUAAGUUUAUAGAAUGAAAGUACCAGCCACGAGGGAGAUGUCAAAGUAGUCGAGGCCCCCAGACUGGUCGAGAGAAUACUCGGCGAGAGUAUUGGGGUUCUGUCCGUAGCCGGUGCAGGCGAGGACGCCGCCGCAGUUGCCGGUCUGGCAGUUGCCGUUGCCGUUGGAGUCGAAGGAGCAGCCGGUGCGAGCCCAGACGCGGCCGCCGGUGGUGCCGUCAGCCACGUUGAAGGUCCAGGACUGGCCCUGGUCGAGCUGGAUGCCGCCGCCGGGGGAGGCGGCGGCCCAGACGGUGUAGGAGCAUUGGUUGAUGACGUUGAAGGUGGAGGCGGCGGCGAGAGGGAGGAGGGCGAGGAGCAGGAGAGGGAGAGUGUUUUGUGUGGCCAUUUCUGGGGAGAAAAUGGAUUUAG
rnacentral:lncRNA from 1 species